rnacentral:lncRNA from 1 species
UGCCAGCAAUGGAUUCUUCACUUGAAUUGGAAAAAGAGUAUAAAGAAUUUUUUUAGUAUAUUAUUUAAAUAUAAAAAUUUUGCAAUACAAUGGACAUGAAAAUGGAGAAAGAAAAAUGAAUACAUGAUGAUCAGAUUUAAAGUAUCUUGAUCGUAAUCUUUUUGACGACAAGAUCGUUAGCAUUUUUCUAUACAUAUAGUAUGAUAUUAUCUAUAUGAAUUUUUUUAAAAGAAAAAGAAGAAGGUGCAUAACCAAAAUAUAUUA